rnacentral:rRNA from 1 species
UACGUAGGGCGCAAGCGUUGUCCGGAAUUAUUGGGCGUAAAGAGCUCGUAGGCGGUUUGUCGCGUCUGCCGUGAAAACCCGAGGCUUAACCUCGUGGCUUGCGGUGGAUACGGGCAGACUAGAGGUAGGUAGGGGAGAAUGGAAUUCCCGGUGUAGCGGUGAAAUGCGCAGAUAUCGGGAGGAACACCGGUGGCGAAGGCGGUUCUCUGGGCCAAUAUUGACGCUGAGGUGCGAAAGCGUGGGGAGCAAACAGG